AUAAGAAUCACCUUAAGAUAUUGUUAAAAUCCAGGGUCUGAUUCACUUGGAAUGAGAUCCAACAUUCCAAAUUUCUUACGUGCUUCAAGGUGAUGCUAAU
rnacentral:pre_miRNA from 1 species